GACGAACGCUGGCGGCGUGCCUAAUACAUGCAAGUAGAACGCUGAAGGAGGAGCUUGCUUCUCUGGAUGAGUUGCGAACGGGUGAGUAACGCGUAGGUAACCUGCCUGGUAGCGGGGGAUAACUAUUGGAAACGAUAGCUAAUACCGCAUAAGAGUAGAUGUUGCAUGACAUUUGCUUAAAAGGUGCAAUUGCAUCACUACCAGAUGGACCUGCGUUGUAUUAGCUAGGUGGUGGGGUAACGGCUCACCAAGGCGACGAUACAUAGCCGACCUGAGAGGGUGAUCGGCCACACUGGGACUGAGACACGGCCCAGACUCCUACGGGAGGCAGCAGUAGGGAAUCUUCGGCAAUGGACGGAAGUCUGACCGAGCAACGCCGCGUGAGUGAAGAAGGUUUUCGGAUCGUAAAGCUCUGUUGUAAGAGAAGAACGAGUGUGAGAGUGGAAAGUUCACACUGUGACGGUAUCUUACCAGAAAGGGACGGCUAACUACGUG
rnacentral:rRNA from 1 species